AAACCAUAGCUCCCAUCUGGGACUGUACUGGGCAUCGCCGACGGCGUAGCCUCAAAGACAUUGGUCUAAUCAAGCGGACGAGUUCCUUUAGGACGGACCGUUGGGUUGACCUUAAACCUCUG
rnacentral:misc_RNA from 2 species